rnacentral:rRNA from 1 species
GACGAACGCUGGCGGCGUGCUUAACACAUGCAAGUCGAACGGAAAGGCCCUGCUUUUGUGGGGUGCUCGAGUGGCGAACGGGUGAGUAACACGUGAGUAACCUGCCCUUGACUUUGGGAUAACUUCAGGAAACCGGGGCUAAUACCGGAUAGGAGCUCCUGCUGCAUGGUGGGGUUUGGAAAGUUUAGGCGGUUGGGGAUGGACUCGGGGCUUAUUAGCUUGUUGGUUGGGUAGUGGCUUACCAAGGCUUUGGCGGGUAGCCGGCCUGAGAGGGUGACCGGCCACAUUGGGACUGAGAGAGGGCCCAGACGCCUACGGGAGGCAGCAGUGGGGAAUAUGGCACAAUGGGCGGAAGCCUGAUGCGACAGCGCCGCGUGCGGGAUGACGGCCUUCGGGUUGUAAACCGCAUUCGCCUGUGACGAAGCGUGAGUGACGGUAAUAGGUAAAGAAGCACCGGCUAACUACGUG